AUUGAACGCUGGCGGCAGGCCUAACACAUGCAAGUCGAACGAGUGGCGGACGGGUGAGUAAUGUCUGGGAAACUGCCUGAUGGAGGGGGAUAACUACUGGCAACGGUAGCUAAUACCGCAUACUAUCAGAUGAGCCUAGGUCGGAUUAGCUAGUUGGUGGGGUAAAGGCGUACCAAGGCGACGAUCCGUACCUGGUCUGAGAGGAUGAUAAGUAACACUGGAACUGAGACACGGUCAAGAUUGCUACGGGAGGCAGCAGUGGGGAAUAUUGGACAAUGGGCGCAAGCCUGAUGCAGCAAUGCCGCGUGUAUGAAGAAGGCGUUCGGGUGGUAAAGUACUUUCAGCGGGGAGGCGUUACCCGCAGAAGAAGCACCGGCUAACUCCGUGCCAGCAGCCGCGGUAAUAC
rnacentral:rRNA from 1 species